GACGAACGCUGGCGGCGUGCUUAACACAUGCAAGUCGAACGGAAAGGCCCUGCUUUUGUGGGGUGCUCGAGUGGCGAACGGGUGAGUAACACGUGAGUAACCUGCCCUUGACUUUGGGAUAACUUCAGGAAACUGGGGCUAAUACCGGAUAGGAGCUCCUGCUGCAUGGUGGGGGUUGGAAAGUUUCGGCGGUUGGGGAUGGACUCGCGGCUUAUCAGCUUGUUGGUGGGGUAGUGGCUUACCAAGGCUUUGACGGGUAGCCGGCCUGAGAGGGUGACCGGCCACAAUGGGACUGAGAUACGGCCCAGACUCGUACGGGAGGCAGAAGUGGGGAAUAUUGCACAAUGGGCGGAAGCCUGAUGCAGCAACGCCGCGUGCGGGAUGACGGCCUUCGGGUUGUAAACCGCUUUCGCCUGUGACGAAGCGUGAGUGACGGUAAUGGGUAAAGAAGCACCGGCUAACUACGUG
rnacentral:rRNA from 1 species